AUCUAUAGCCAUACCAAUUGUGAAUGCCCCCAUCUUGUCUGAUCUUGGAAGCUAAGCAGGGUCAGGACUGGUUAGUACUUGGAUGGGAGAAAAGAAAACUGAACUUCAAAAGGAAUAGGAA
rnacentral:rRNA from 1 species